AUUGAACGCUGGCGGCAGGCUUAACACAUGCAAGUCGAGCGGGGUGAUGGUGCUUGCACUAUCACUUAGCGGCGGACGGGUGAGUAAUGCUUAGGAAUCUGCCUAUUAGUGGGGGACAACAUCUCGAAAGGGAUGCUAAUACCGCAUACGUCCUACGGGAGAAAGCAGGGGAUCACUUGUGACCUUGCGCUAAUAGAUGAGCCUAAGUGGGAUUAGCUAGUUGGUGGGGUGAAGGCCUACCAAGGCGACGAUCUGUAGCGGGUCUGAGAGGAUGAUCCGCCACACUGGGACUGAGACACGGCCCAGACUCCUACGGGAGGCAGCAGUGGGGAAUAUUGGACAAUGGGGGGAACCCUGAUCCAGCCAUGCCGCGUGUGUGAAGAAGGCCUUAUGGUUGUAAAGCACUUUAAGCGAGGAGGAGGCUCUUUUGGUUAAUACACAAGAUGAGUGGACGUUACUCGCAGAAUAAGCACCGGCUAACUCUGUGCCAGCAGCCGCCGCAG
rnacentral:rRNA from 1 species